AGCAACGCGCAGAACCUUACCAACCCUCGACAUUUAGUGACAACUCCAGAGAUGGAGCCUUCCUUCGGGACACUAGGACAGGUGCUGCAUGGCUGUCGUCAGCUCGUGUCGUGAGAUGUUCGGUUAAGUCCGGCAACGAGCGCAACCCACAUCCUUAGUUGCCAGCAGUUCGGCUGGGCACUCUAGGGAAACUGCCCGUGAUAAGCGGGAGGAAGGUGUGGAUGACGUCAAGUCCUCAUGGCCCUUACGGGUUGGGCUACACACGUGCUACAAUGGCAACUACAGUGGGUUAAUCCCCAAAAGUUGUCUCAGUUCGGAUUGUCGUCUGCAACUCGACGGCAUGAAGUCGGAAUCGCUAGUAAUCGCGUAACAGCAUGACGCGGUGAAUACGCUCCCGGGCCUUGUACACACCGCCCGUCACACCAUGGGAGUUGGGUUUACCCGAAGGCCGUGCGCCAACCUUUCGAGGGGGCAGCGGGCCACGGUGAGCUCAGCGACUGGGGUGAAGUCGUAACAAGGUAGCCGUAA
rnacentral:rRNA from 1 species